CCCUUAGAUGUUCGGGGCCGCACGCGCGCUACACUGAUGGGGUCAGCGUGUUUGCACGUCCUGGUCCGGCAGGAUUGGGCAAUCCGUUGAACCUCCGUCGUGAUUGGGAUCGGAGCUUGUAAUUAUUCUCCGUGAACGAGGAAUUCCCAGUAAGCGCAAGUCAUCAGCUUGCGUUGAUUACGUCCCUGCCCUUUGUACACACCGCCCGUCGCUACUACCGAUUGAAUGGUUUAGUGAGAUCUUCGGAUUGGCGCCACUGCGGCUCAGCAAUGGGCUCGGUGGAUGCCGAAAAGUUGAUCAAACUUGAUCAUUUAGAGGAAGUAAAAGUCGUAACA
rnacentral:rRNA from 1 species